GAGAGUUUGAUCCUGGCUCAGAUUGAACGCUGGCGGCAGGCUUAACACAUGCAAGUCGAGCGGAGAUGAGGUGCUUGCACCUUAUCUUAGCGGCGGACGGGUGAGUAAUGCUUAGGAAUCUGCCUAUUAGUGGGGGACAACAUUCCGAAAGGAAUGCUAAUACCGCAUACGUCCUACGGGAGAAAGCAGGGGAUCUUCGGACCUUGCGCUAGUAGAUGAGCCUAAGUCGGAUUAGCUAGUUGGUGGGGUAAAGGCCUACCAAGGCGACGAUCUGUAGCGGGUCUGAGAGGAUGAUCCGCCACACUGGGACUGAGACACGGCCCAGACUCCUACGGGAGGCAGCAGUGGGGAAUAUUGGACAAUGGGGGGAACCCUGAUCCAGCCAUGCCGCGUGUGUGAAGAAGGCCUUAUGGUUGUAAAGCACUUUAAGCGAGGAGGAGGCUACUGAGACUAAUACUCUUGGAUAGUGGACGUUACUCGCAGAAUAAGCACCGGCUAACUCUGUGCCAGCAGCCGCGGUAAUACAGAGGGUGCGAGCGUUAAUCGGAUUUACUGGGCGUAAAGCGUGCGUAGGCGGCUGAUUAAGUCGGAUGUGAAAUCCCCGAGCUUAACUUAGGAAUUGCAUUCGAUACUGGUCAGCUAGAGUAUGGGAGAGGAUGGUAGAAUUCCAGGUGUAGCGGUGAAAUGCGUAGAGAUCUGGAGGAAUACCGAUGGCGAAGGCAGCCAUCUGGCCUAAUACUGACGCUGAGGUACGAAAGCAUGGGGAGCAAACAGGAUUAGAUACCCUGGUAGUCCAUGCCGUA
rnacentral:rRNA from 1 species